CCAAACCGUUCUAGGAUUCUAUGAUCAGGACCUAGCACUUCUAGCAGUCUUUAGUCUUGCCAUGUAUUGCCAAAAGCAGAAGUUAGUCAGCUUGAAAAGGGACAGAAGGAACAGCUCUGGACAAGCGUUUGAAUGAGUCAUCUGCAGAGGAGUUGAGGUGGGACAUAGGUCGUUCUCAGGUUUUGAUCACUGUUUUUGGAUCCUGCACUGGGAGCGGAGGAAGGUCUGUGGAAUACUUUAAUUCUGACAGAAAACAAACUAUAGAGAGGGAGGCCCAACGUCAGGUUAAAACUUGCUGUGCCUCUACUUGUCUGCCCCUCUACUGGAAAACUUGUAGGCAUUGAUGAAUUGAAAAAUGGCAGGUGCUUGGAUUACUACCAAUUAAUAUAUAAGUUGCAUUGGGCAACAGUAUUGUGCCAAGAAAUCAUAAGUAAAGAACAUAAGGCUGUCAGUGGAGAAUGAUGUUGAUCUUACAUACUGUGGGUCAUUAGCUUACUAAGCCUUUGAUAGUGGCGUAGAGAGUGCACAGUCCCCAGUUUCCAUGUCACUGUCAGGAGAAGUACUACAGGGUGUUUGUUAGCCAGCUUUCCUAAUGGAGCAAGUCUUGUGCAACCAUGCUGGCCAUCAGCCUUGCUGCUCAAUAACUUGCUGACGGACAUCAAUCAAACUAGAUAACAGGGUAAGACAUAAACAAACAUGAAGUUGCAGCUUCUGUAAAAGCUGGUAUGUAGACAGGCCGGAGAUACAAAUUAGUGCUGUCACCAUGGGCAACAGAGUUCAUACCCAGUCCCUGUGCAGGUUGUUUGGCAGAGCUGCUGGCCAACCAAGAUGCACACAGUUACAGAUUAACUGUGGUAUAGCUCCUGUCCCCGCUUUAGAGCCCCGGGUGCAGAACAGCUGCUUGUGGGGAAGAACAUGAGAAAUACUCAGGAGAUCUAGGAGCCGAUAGUAGGACACAAACUGUUUUGCAAAGUUGAGGCUGAAUGUUAGCAUGGGAGACAGAGUAGAGCUUGGGAAUUUUUACUAGGGAAGAAUUUCCACAAAAACUGCUCAGUUUUUCUUGUGGCCUUUUGCUGUGUAUGAUCUGACUUCACAGGGUUACUUUCUUUCUGAAGAGACUUGCUAGGAGUAGAUAGCUAAGGUUAUAGUAGAGAGUCCACUCUCCCCAACCAUCCUGCCAAAGAUCAUAAACUUACUAAUAGGUCUGUUGGAAUAACAAAUUGAUGCACUGAAGUUGCCUGAAAGGUGUGUAAUAUUCCCUCCCUCUUUCUCUCUCUGGCCCCCCCCCGGAUGCAUAUUACAAAGAAAGAAAAAAGCCACAGCAGACCAAGGGAGUUAAAUUAUAAACCCAGAUUCAGGUAAAGGAAUACAGAGGAAGCUGAAAUGCAGAACUAAGAUGACAGGACACAAGUAGCAGGCAGGAAGGAGGCUGGUGGUGGCUGGUAAGAACUGUAAUUGCCAGACUUGGGAAGCACCUGCAAGUUGGCUGUCAGCCUGCAUUCUUGCACUGGCUUUCCCUCGGGAAACGCUGGGCUAGGUGACAGAACAUCACGUUUAGGAAAAGUGCUUUUUAAAUACACGUACGUCUGGAAGAGGUACCAGAAUGUUUAUGUUAAACUGGAAAAUUUCAAGUUACAUUGAAAGGGUUUGGUAAAAUUGGAGAGGCGCCACCUGUAUCCUGGAUUCCUGCUAUUUUUGUCAUUCCACAGAAGCCGCUGUACAAUUUGUUCCAAGGACACCGAAUUGCCAAGAUUCACGUUUCUGAACAUGGAUGUGCUAUAGAGGAAAUCUGUUACUUUGCUACAGCCCCGUGUCUUCAACGCCAAGUGAUCUUCCAGGAAGAAAUGUUUAGCAAUCUCUGCCCUGUGGGCACAAAUAUACUCAAGGUGAUGAGAACCCAAAUAGCCGGCAUCAGGCUAACAAGUGGCUGGAUGCUCAGCCAAAUUCUGUCACCGGCUAUCAAAAGGCAAUGAAAUGCAGCUGUUUUGCUAUGAAGAAGUGAUUACUGUGCUGGCUAAUGAACUAACCACUUACCUGUUUGGUUCAGCAAAAUGCAAAAUCCCAGAAAUUUGAGGAAAUCAAAUUAAAAAUGAGGACUUGAGAAAAAGAGAGUCACAGCCACCUGGCCUGUCAAUCUCUUCCACAGCUUUUGAAACUGAAGCUACUUUCAGGCCAGGAAGAGUAAAAAUCUUUGGAGAUCAUUACAUUCUCUGUAGGUCUAGGGGGCAAAGGGAUGGGUGGAGAUCAGCAGCUGGAUAAAGGAGAAUAAAACAAACAUUCCCACAAGGGAGCAGAAGGGCAGAACUAAGCAGAAGAACCCUCUGCACUACUGCUGCUUGAGGUUAUCUGAGGGGAGGGGUUAUACA